rnacentral:rRNA from 1 species
UAGAGCCUACGGGGGGCAGCAGUGGGGAAUAUUGCACAAUGGGGGAAACCCUGAUGCAGCAACGCCGCGUGAAGGAAGACGGUUUUCGGAUUGUAAACUUCUGUUCUUAGUGAAGAAUAAUGACGGUAGCUAAGGAGCAAGCCACGGCUAACUACGUGCCAGCAGCCGCGGUAAUACGUAGGUGGCAAGCGUUGUCCGGAAUUACUGGGUGUAAAGAGAGCGCAGGCGGGAAGCCAAGUCAGCUGUGAAAACAACGGGCUUAACUAGUAGGCUGCAGUUGAAACUGGUUUUCUUG